UCCCGCAGGCUCCAUUCAAGAAUGUCAAGUAUUCAAGAUGGACGGAGCGGAAUGCGGAGAGAGAGAGCGAGGAGAGAGAGACGCGGGAGCUGUUUAGUGCCCGCCACUUUCUUGCCCGGGCAAAGCGGGGGGAAAAACGCCAAAGUUUUAACCUCCACCGCGGGGCCAUGCGAGAGACGAGGAGAAGCCAGAGAGCUGCCGAAAGGAAACUUGUUAUUUCCCAAAUUCUAUUUCCUUCAUAUCUGGUGAUAAGGUUCAACAUCAUUGAUAAGGUGAACGACCUGUCAAUGAAAAACAAGGACAUCCUGUUGCAUCAGUUCCCCAAACAUUAGGUCGAACUCCUGAACAGUCUUCUUGAAACUCCUGCUGAAUGAAGACUAAAGAGAAUGGUUUGAUUAAUAUGUACCAUGCAGCAGCCCAGUAUUCUAUAGAAACUCAUACUAAAGAAAGUGCAUUGAUAAAAUAAA